rnacentral:rRNA from 1 species
CUUCCGUAGGUGAACCUGCGGAAGGAUCAUUACCUAGAGUUGCGGGCUUUGCCUGCCAUCUCUUACCCAUGUCUUUUGAGUACCUUCGUUUCCUCGGCGGGUCCGCCCGCCGAUUGGACACAUUUAAACCCUUUGUAGUUGCAAUCAGCGUCUGAAAAAACUUAAUAGUUACAACUUUCAACAACGGAUCUCUUGGUUCUGGCAUCGAUGAAGAACGCAGCGAAAUGCGAUAAGUAGUGUGAAUUGCAGAAUUCAGUGAAUCAUCGAAUCUUUGAACGCACAUUGCGCCCCUUGGUAUUCCAUGGGGCAUGCCUGUUCGAGCGUCAUUUGUACCUUCAAGCUCUGCUUGGUGUUGGGUGUUUGUCUCGCCUCUGCGCGCAGACUCGCCUCAAAACAAUUGGCAGCCGGCGUAUUGAUUUCGGAGCGCAGUACAUCUCGCGCUUUGCACUCAUAACGACGACGUCCAAAAGUACAUUUUUACACUCUGACCUCGGAUCAGGUAGGGAAACC